rnacentral:rRNA from 1 species
UUAAGAUACUAAGAGCAUACGGUGGAUGCCUUGGCGAUAUCUGCCGACGAAGGACGUGACAAGCUGCGAAAAGCUGCGGAGAGAUGCAAAUAAUCGGCGACCCGCAGACAUCCGAAUGGAGAAAUCCGGCUGUGAUGAUGCACAGCCAUCCAUGCCCAAGAGCAUGAGAAGGGAACCGGGCGAACUGAAACAUCUAAGUAACCCGAGGAAAAGAAAUCAAACGAGAUACCCCAAGUAGCGGCGAGCGAACAGGGAAGAAGCCCAAACCGGUGAAGGAAACUUUGCCGGGGUUGAGGACCAUCAGACCCGCGAAGAACCUUAGCCGAAACUGUUGGGAAACAGUGCCAAAGACAGUGAAAGCCUGGUAGGCGAAAAAGAGAAACGCGGAGAUGGCACCAGAGUACCGCGGGACACGAGAAAUCCCGUGGGAAACAGGGGGGACCACCCUCCAAGGCAAAACACAGAUAUCGACCGAUAGCGCAUAGUACCAUGAGGGAAAGGUGAAAAGCACCCCGGGAGGGGAAUGAAAGAGAACCUGAAACCGUAUGUUUACAAGCAGUCGGAGACCGCUUAAUAAUAAGGUCGACGGCGUGCCUAUUGAAGAAUGAACCGGCGAGUUACGAAGCCUGGCAAGGUUAAGCAGGAAAUGCGGAGCCGAAGCGAAAGCGAGUCUUAAGAGGGCGCAAGUCAGGAAGCGUAGACCCGAAACCACAGUGAUCUACCCAUGUCCAGGUUGAAACACAGGUAAAAAUGUGUGGAGGACCGAACCUAUAUCCGUUGAAAAGGGUUAGGAUGAGGUGUGGGUAGGGGUGAAAUUCCAAUCGAACGUGGAGAUAGCUGGUUCUCCCCGAAAUAGCUUUAGGGCUAGCCUCAGGGAAAAGAUUGCAGGCGGUAGAGCACUGAUCAGGAGAGGGACCUACCCGGUUACCAAACCCAGUCAAACUCCGAAUGGCUGCAAUCAUACCUGGGAGUCAGACUGCGACUAAUAAGGGCCGCAGUCAAAAGGGAAACAGCCCAGACCAUCAGCUAAGGUCCCCAAUGCCGUGCUAAGUGGCGAAGGAUGUGGCAUUUCAUAAACAACCAGGAUGUUGGCUCAGAAGCAGCCACCAUUUAAAGAGUGCGUAAUAGCUCACUGGUCGAGAGACGCUGCGCCGAAAAUGUCCGGGGCUCAAGCACGGAACCGAAGCUAUGGCAUGAUAGCAAUAUCAUGGGUAGGGGAGCGUUCUUAUAAGGAAGAAGCAUGACCGGAAGGACAUGUGGACAAAUAAGAAGUGAGAAUGCCGGUAUGAGUAUCGAAAAGAAAGGUGAGAAUCCUUUCCACCGAAAGCCCGAGGGUUCCUGAGCAACGAUCGUCGACUCAGGGUAAGUCGGGACCUAAGCCGAGGCGAGAAGCGUAGGCGAUGGACAACAGGUUGAAAUUCCUGUACCGGAUCAAGUCGAUCGAGCGAAGGAGCGACGCAGGAGGGCACAUGAUCGCGCGGGUGGAAGAGCGCGUCCAAGUGCGUAUGUUGCUGCAGAGGAAAACCCCUGCAGCUAAAAGCAGAGACAUGAUGGGGAGUUAAAGGGAACUUUGACGAACUCAUGAAUCCCACACUGCCAAGAAAAACUUCUAGCGAGACAAGAUCCGCCCGUACCGUAAACCGACACAGGUAGGCGGGGAGAGAAUCCUAAGGUGCGCGGGAAAACCCUCGUUAAGGAACUCGGCAAAUUGCAUCCGUAACCUAGGGAGAAGGAUGGCCCCCGGUCAGUGAAGAGCAGAAACGCUCAGAGCUAAAAGGGGCGGCAGAAAAGAGGCCCAAGCAACUGUUUACCAAAAACACAGGUGCCUGCGAAAGCGAAAGCUGAAGUAUAGGUGCUGACGCCUGCCCGGUGCCGGAAGGUUAAGGAGAGAAGUUAGCGAAAGCGAAGCAUCGAACUGAAGCCCCGGUGAACGGCGGCCGUAACUAUAACGGUCCUAAGGUAGCGAAAUUCCUUGUCGGGUAAGUUCCGAC